rnacentral:rRNA from 1 species
UACGUAGGGGGCAAGCGUUGUCCGGAAUCAUUGGGCGUAAAGAGCGUGUAGGCGGCCUGGUAAGUCCGCUGUGAAAGUCCAGGGCUCAACCCUGGAAUGCCGGUGGAAACUGUCAGGCUCGAGUCCGGAAGAGGCGAGUGGAAUUCCUGGUGUAGCGGUGAAAUGCGUAGAGAUCGGGAGGAACACCAGAGGCGAAGGCGGCGACCUGGACAGGCACUGACACUCAACUACGAAAGCGUGGGGAGCAAACAGG